UGAAGAUCUAGAAAAGGCCUUGGAGCUCACUGGUUUAAAAGUGUUUGGCAAUGAAAUUAAACUUGAAAAACCAAAAGGAAGAGAUAGUAAGAAAGUUCGAGCUGCAAGAACACUUUUAGCAAAGAACCUUUCUUUCAACAUCACUGAGGAUGAAU